rnacentral:rRNA from 1 species
AGUCCUACGGGAGGCAGCAGUGAGGAAUAUUGGUCAAUGGGCGGGAGCCUGAACCAGCCAAGUCGCGUGAAGGAAGAAGGUACUGAGUAUUGUAAACUUCUUUUGUCGGGGAACAAAGGCGGAGACGCGUCUCCGGAUGAGUGUACCCGAAGAAAAAGCAUCGGCUAACUCCGUGCCAGCAGCCGCGGUAAUACGGAGGAUGCGAGCGUUAUCCGGAUUUAUUGGGUUUAAAGGGUGCGCAGGCGGGAGAUCAAGUUAGCGGUAAAAUGUUGGGGCUCAACCCCGGCGGGCUGU